GAUGAACGCUGGCGGCGUGCCUAAUACAUGCAAGUCGAGCGAACAGACGAGAGUGCUUGCACUCUCUGACGUUAGCGGCGGACGGGUGAGUAACACGUGGGUAACCUACCUAUAAGACUGGGAUAACUUCGGGAAACCGGAGCUAAUACCGGAUAAUAUUUAGCUUCGCAUGAAGCAAUAGUGAAAGACGGUUCUGCUGUCACUUAUAGAUGGACCCGCGGUGUACUAGCUAGUUGGUGAGGUAACGGCUCACCAAGGCAACGAUACAUAGCCGACCUGAGAGGGUGAUCGGCCACACUGGGACUGAGACACGGCCCAGACUCCUACGGGAGGCAGCAGUAGGGAAUCUUCCGCAAUGGACGAAAGUCUGACGGAGCAAUGCCGCGUGAGUGAAGAAGGUUUUCGGAUCGUAAAACUCUGUUGUAAGGGAAGAACAAGUACGUUAGUAACUGAACGUACCUUGACGGUACCUUACCAGAAAGCCACGGCUAACUACGUG
rnacentral:rRNA from 1 species